CAGCAGCCGGAACAUCCGCUCGGCGGGCCCGCAGCCCUCUUAAACCCUUCUUUCUCCCAAGCCUUUCCUAUAUCAAGGUCAGUUCAGAAGAUCUGAGGGGUUUCCCAAAGGGAUCUUCAGCCGCCUGAGCAUGUUCCCCGGGAAUGACUGCAAGAAGGAUCCAAAAAGCCUUUAAAGGCUGGAGAAAAACACCUUGAAACUGACCUACCAACCUCGCUGAGAGGUUACAUCCGGGUCCCAGAGAGCCUCUACAGGAUGGAAUUUAGCCGAGCUGCAAUGAGGACGCCAUAAUGGAGCUUGGGCAGAGAAGCAAUCAAUCCCCGGCCAUUCCUGCCAUCAGUCAGCCAGAGAUUUCGUUCCAUAAAACGAAGAUGGAAUUGAACGCAGAUGGAACUGUUCGAGAGCUGCUUUUUUUGUGUUCAUAGGUUACUUCUGCUUGGCGGCUUAGGCAGGUGCAUAUCUGGGCCUCUUUCUCUGUUUUUCUCCUCUGCCCAUUAGAGAAAUGGAAACAUAUGGAUUCCUUGUUUGGGCCCAGUGACCUUAUAGAAUAGUAUCCUUGUUGCUUUCCUCACACAUCUUCCUGUAAUCACAUGGUUGUGGAUUAGCCUCCUAAUCCCCCAGUGGAAAAGCC
rnacentral:lncRNA from 1 species